rnacentral:tRNA from 1 species
GCCCGGGUGGUGGAAUUGGUAGACACAAGGGACUUAAAAUCCCUCGCCCUAAUCCGGCGUGCCGGUUCGAUUCCGGCCCUGGGUACCA